AUUGAAUAAAAAGCGCCAGGACUUAAAAGUAUUACUUUUAAGUUGACGAGGACAGGGGUUAUCGAAAUUUCGGCGGAUACCCUGCGGUGUAUCCACCACCGUUAAAGAUUCUACAAAACCCAUAAGCGAUUAUGGGGACAAAAAGAAUCGGGUGGAUUAA
rnacentral:ncRNA from 2 species